rnacentral:rRNA from 1 species
CCUACGGGAGGCAGCAGUGAGGAAUCUUGGUCAAUGGGCGCAGGCCUGAACCAGCCAAGUCGCGUGAGGGCAGCCUGCCCUAUGGGUUGUAAACCUCUUUUAUAAGGGACGAAUAAUGACUACGUGUAGUCAGAUGCACGUACCUUAUGAAUACGCAUCGGCUAACACCGUGCCCGCCACCGCGUUACUACGGGGGAUGCGAGCGUUAGCAGGAUUUAGUGGGUGAAAGGGGUGCGUAGGAUGUAUUUUAAGGUAGUGGUAAAACAUCGGGGCUUCACCUUGAUUGGCCAUUAAAACUGGAGUACUAGAGUACAGACGAGGUAGGCGGAAUAAGUUAAGUAGCGGUGAAAUGCUUAGAUAUAACUUAGAACCCCGAUAGCGAAGGCAGCUUACCAGACUGUUACUGACGCUGAAGCACGAGAGCGUGGGUAGCGAACAGGAUUAGAUACCCGUGUAGUC